rnacentral:tRNA from 1 species
UUCUUUUUAGUUUAUGAUAGAAUAUUUGCCUUCCAAGCAAAAGGUCCUUAUUAUAGGAAAAGAAA